rnacentral:rRNA from 1 species
AAAAAAGGUAAGCUACUAAGAGCGAAUGGUGGAUGCCUUGACUGGUAAAGGCGAUGAAGGACGUACUAGACUGCGAUAAGCUACGGGGAGCUGUCAAGAAGCUUUGAUCCGUAGAUUUCCGAAUGGGGCAACCCAAUGUAUAGAGAUAUACAUUACCUAUAUAGGAGCGAACGAGGGGAAUUGAAACAUCUUAGUACUCUCAGGAAAAGAAAUCAAUAGAGAUUGCGUCAGUAGCGGCGAGCGAAAGCGCAAGAGGGCAAACCCAGUGCUUGCACUGGGGGUUGUAGGACUGCAAUGUGCAAGAGGUAAGUUUAGCAGAACAUUCUGGAAAGUAUAACCAUAGAGGGUGAUAGUCCCGUAUGCGAAAAACAAACCUUAGCUAGCAGUAUCCUGAGUAGGGCGGGACACGAGGAAUCCUGUCUGAAUCCGGGUCGACCACGAUCCAACCCUAAAUACUAAUACCAGAUCGAUAGUGCACAAGUACCGUGAGGGAAAGGUGAAAAGAACUGAGGUGAUCAGAGUGAAAUAGAACCUGAAACCAUUUGCUUACAAUCAUUCAGAGCCCUAUGUAGCAAUACAGGGUGAUGGACUGCCUUUUGCAUAAUGAGCCUGCGAGUUGUGGUGUCUGGCAAGGUUAAGCAAACGCGAAGCCGUAGCGAAAGCGAGUCUGAAUAGGGCGCUUAGUCAGAUGCUGCAGACCCGAAACGAAGUGAUCUAUCCAUGAGCAAGUUGAAGCUAGUGUAAGAACUAGUGGAGGACUGAACCCAUAGGCGUUGAAAAGCCCCGGGAUGACUUGUGGAUAGGGGUGAAAGGCCAAUCAAACUUCGUGAUAGCUGGUUCUCUCCGAAAUAUAUUUAGGUAUAGCGUUGUGUCGUAAUAUAAGGGGGUAGAGCACUGAAUGGGCUAGGGCAUACACCAAUGUACCAAACCCUAUCAAACUCCGAAUACCUUAUAUGUAAUCACAGCAGUCAGGCGGCGAGUGAUAAAAUCCGUCGUCAAGAGGGAAACAACCCAGACUACCAGCUAAGGUCCCUAAAUCUUACUUAAGUGGAAAACGAUGUGAAGUUACUUAAACAACCAGGAGGUUGGCUUAGAAGCAGCCAUCCUUUAAAGAAAGCGUAAUAGCUCACUGGUCUAGUGAUUUUGCGCGGAAAAUAUAACGGGGCUAAAGUAAGUACCGAAGCUGUAGACUUAGUUUACUAAGUGGUAGGAGAGCGUUCUAUUUGCGUCGAAGGUAUACCGGUAAGGAGUGCUGGAGCGAAUAGAAGUGAGCAUGCA